UGGGGAAUAUUGCACAAUGGGCGCAAGCCUGAUGCAGCCAUGCCGCGUGUGUGAAGAAGGCCUUCGGGUUGUAAAGCACUUUCAGCGGGGAGGAAGGCGGUGAGGUUAAUAACCUCAUCGAUUGACGUUACCCGCAGAAGAAGCACCGGCUAACUCCGUGCCAGCAGCCGCGGUAAUACGGAGGGUGCAAGCGUUAAUCAGAAUUACUGGGCGUAAAGCGCACGCAGGCGGUCUGUCAAGUCGGAUGUGAAAUCCCCGGGCUCAACCUGGGAACUGCAUUCGAAACUGGCAGGCUAGAGUCGUGUAGAGGGGGGUAGAAUUCCAGGUGUAGCGGUGAAAUGCGUAGAGAUCUGGGGGAAUACCGGUGGCGAAGGCGGCCCCCUGGACAAAGACUGACGCUCAGGUGCGAAAGCGUGGGGAGCAAACAGG
rnacentral:rRNA from 1 species